rnacentral:rRNA from 1 species
UACGGAGGGUGCAAGCGUUGCUCGGAAUCACUGGGCGUAAAGGGCGUGUAGGCGGUCUCGUAUGUCUGCCGUGAAAGCCCCGGGCUCAACCCGGGAAGUGCGUUGGAAACUGCGAGACUAGAGUCUCGGAGAGGAAGGUGGAAUUCCAGGUGUAGCGGUGAAAUGCGUAGAUAUCUGGAAGAACACCGGUGGCGAAGGCGGCCUUCUGGACGAUGACUGACGCUGAGACGCGAAAGCGUGGGGAGCAAACAGG